rnacentral:rRNA from 1 species
AGCAGCCGCGGUAAUUCCAGCUCCAAUAGCGUAUAUUAAAGUUGUUGCAGUUAAAAAGCUCGUAGUUGAAUUUCGGGGUUAAUAGGUUGGUCGUGCCACUGGUACGUACUGGUCUCACUGAUUCCUCCUUCCUGAUGAACUGUAAUGCCAUUAAUUUGGUGUUGCAGGGAAACUGGACUGUUACUUUGAAAAAAUUAGAGUGUUUAAAGCAAGCUAACGCUUGAAUACAUUAGCAUGGAAUAAUGAAAUAGGACGUUCGAUCCUAUUUUGUUGGUUUCUAGGAUUGACGUAAUGAUUAAUAGGGAUAGUUGGGGGCAUUAGUAUUCAAUUGUCAGAGGUGAAAUUCUUGGAUUUAUUGAAGACUAACUACUGCGAAAGCAUUUGCCAAGGAUGUUUUCAUUAAUCAAGAACGAAAGUUAGGGGAUCGAAGACGAUCAGAUACCGUCGUAGUCUUAACCAUAAACUAUGCCGACUAGGGAUCGGAUGAUGUUAAUUUUUUAGUGACUCAUUCGGCGCCUUA